rnacentral:rRNA from 1 species
AGAACGAACGCUGGCGGCAUGCCUAAUACAUGCAAGUCGAACGAACUCUUCGGAGUUAGUGGCGCACGGGUGCGUAACGCGUGGGAAUCUGCCCCUUGGUUCGGAAUAACAGUUGGAAACGACUGCUAAUACCGGAUGAUAUCGAAAGAUCAAAGAUUUAUCGCCCAGGGAUGAGCCCGCGUAGGAUUAGCUAGUUGGUGAGGUAAAGGCUCACCAAGGCGACGAUCCUUAGCUGGUCUGGGAGGAUGAUCAGCCACACUGGGACUGAGACACGGCCCAGACUCCUACGGGAGGCCAGCAGUAGGGAAUAGUUAGGACAAGUGGGCGCAAGCCUGAUCCAGCAAUGGCCGCGUAGAGGUGAUGGAAGGUCCGUUUAAGGGUUGUAAAGUCGUUACCUUUUAACCCGAGUA